UUGUGAAUAACUGUGAUGUUUUUAUCAGCUGUUGGGACUCUCAUUCUGACGGCACCCAUUCACUGCAGAGGAUCCAUUGCUGAGCAAGUGAUGUAAUGCUACAUUUCUCCAAACAUUGUUCUGAUGAAGAAACAAGCUCAUCUGCAUCUUUGGAUUGACUGAGAUGUAGGAGCCAAAACAGAGAUGUCUAGAAGCAUCUGCUGUGAUCCUCAGGGACUGACGCUGGACUCCAGAGAGACAAAUGCAGCAGAACAUGGAAAAUCACAUUGUAUCAUGGAGUCAAAUCUGCUCAGAAAGGAAAAUCUGCAGCAAGGGCCAAGAAUCAUCAGCUGUAUGGUUUCUACAGAACAAAACAUGCUAAUUUGAUGAUCAACAUGUACAAACAUUUCUCAAUCAUUUUGAAGCAGACAGUGAACAAGCAUCAUCAAAUGUCCAGC